GGCACACUCAAUAAGUGCGGUGGAUAACAUAUAGUGUGCGCUUUCAGGCACACUCAAUGACAUAUCUGUCUUAAUAUUACUACAUACAGUACCAUAUAACUUUGUUUUAUUGAGAAAGUGUUUUAACAACACAUGAGUUUAUCUGUUAUAUCACAAAAGGUUCUACAUCAACAUAUUUCAUAAAACAUUAAACUGUUCUCACUGUAACAUGGUAAGGUAUUUAUUAAUGAGAAGACAGUGCAGCUGACACUGACAAGAAAAACUCUUUGGUUUCAGUUUGAUUUCAUGCUUUUACAGAGACACGAUCAAUGUAUUAUCAUGCCAUUCGUCUAUAAUCUACGUCCAUAAAAGAUUUUGUUAAAACAAGAACACUUUAGUAGAUAAGAUUUAUUUACUUAUUAUGACAUGCCGGCACCAAUACGCUGUGGUAAUGUAAAACAUCUGCUUGUGUUGUGUUUGUAGAGUGCUGCACACUCUCAUGUUGAAGACAUUACUGAUGGGAACAACAAUUGUGAAAUAACUGUCACUGUGAAUGAUGCAAAGUGUAUGUAAAACAUGUUUCUGUCUCCAAUUUGUAAUGCAUUGUUGCGGGGUUCUUCUGCUAACCUCGUCUUUCGUUCCAAAAAUCCAGGCUUAGUCGGAAAAUGAUGGUUUUCUCGGUUUUUAUUCCCUACCUCACCAGGUGCAAACAGUGCCAAUAUGUACAAACCAAAAAAAAUAAAGUGAAUGAACCAAAAAUGCUCUAUAUACAAUUUCAAAAAAUCAAAAGAAAGGAAAAACAAACAAACAAGAAAACAAAAAAACGAGUUCUUCAAUAACUCAGCUCGCAAACAACAAAUCAACCACUGUUACCUCCUCUGUAACUAACCACACACUCUCCUCGAUUAGGGCCCAGGCAGCCCCUUUUAUAGUGGUAGCCCCUCCCACACUACUACCUUUCUAAAAACAACAUAAACAUCUUUUCCCCAUUAUGACAGCCAUUCCAUAUGCAGUGAUCAUGACAACAAUUUGUAUAAAAAUUAUAUCAGUAUGUUCACUGUUUAUCUUCCAUAGAAGACGCCUGGUACUCAGAUAAAUUGACAUUAUUAAAAACCACAUAUUUUUCCACAUCACAUGGUGUCUAAUUACGCACGUCAUCAUCCUAUAUAAUGAUGGUGAUGCGUACGCCCUGUUUCUCCGCCGGAAGCGGACAGGUAAGUGGUGGCGGCGUAUUUCCACACACCCCGUAAGUUAUCAUCUGCGUGUGUAUGAAUACAUUAAAUUAGCGCUGCCAAGUGUGCACCCUUGGCUGUGCUAUUGUCCGGUGAGGGGAAGAGGGAUGUGUGUUUUGUUAUGUUUUGUUUAGCGCGGAGCAGAAGGGAAUGGGGAAGAUGUGUUGUUUGUGUGUGUGUCUGUGUGUGUGCGCUGCGUGUGUGUGUGCUGGCCGCAGUCAGUGACAGCGCUGCUCCGUCACAUGCAUCAACUGCCAGAAUAAUGUCUGCUGUGGUUCAGGUGAUAAAAGGUCACUGGUUUGAUUCCCAGUCCCCCAGUCCAGCUCAAGGGUCAUUGAAUUUUAUUGAAUUGAAUUGAAAUGAAUUGAACUGAACUGAAGUCUGUUCUGUUGUAUUUCCAGUUGGAAAUUUCUCAGAGGCACCCAGACAUCUAUGCUGUUCCUGUGAAGACAGCCAAGCUGGAUUACAAUCGCCCACAGCCUAUCGGGUAGGCUCACUACUGCCAUACGACUGUUUCCAAGCUCUGCUCUCCAGCUCCGGUCCAGAACCCCUGACUCUUUUAUCCUCCAAGGAGGGAAGUCCCUUCUACACCAGUGAAGAGGAAGCAGUGGCAGGAUACUACACCGCAGACUCCUACCAGUACCAAGACACUGAACUGUAGGACCAGCACACAGCAAUCUCGUCCUCAGCUUCCUGGACAUACAUGUUCACAUCUACUGCAUAUGCAGUCUAUUUACACACUUACCAUUCUAUCAUGUCCUGCACAACAAGUAAGCUGUUGACUUUGAACUGACUUGCUUCUUUAUUGAGGGGAAAAACUGCCUUUUUUUGCUUCAAGGAAGUUAAAGCAAUCUGUACUAUCCAUCUGGAUAGAAAUACGCUGUCUUCACUUGACUUUUUUUAUGUUGUUUUAAAAAAAAUUUUUCUUACAUACCACUUUUAAUGGUCAAAACUGAGUAACUAGGAACCACUUGUUUUCUUGCCUAUGCAACUCUUCAGUUUGUGCACAGCAACUGAAAUCUAUUGCCACGAGUUUUGCCCUCACAAAAACCUCAACAAACCCAAAGCCCACAGUGCACUUUAUCAUAUCUAUCCCCUGCUUUUUUUAAGCUCCUAUUAUUGGCAGGUAUCAUCAACAAAAGUUACGUAUAUAUUAUUACAUACAGCUUAUAUAUCUAAAGUAAAGUGUUUAUACUCUGUCUUUGCAUUCCUUUGUAUGACAAUGACAAUGCCUGUGUAUACAAACAGUAUAUAAUAUUAUUAUAUAUACGAUAUAUAUAGAUUAUAUAUAUAUAUAUAUAUUCUAUCUAGUAACUCUGGAAUUUGUUACAAUUUUUUGAAGUGCCUUUUACUUUCUUAGUCCUGUGAGGUUUGGGUUGUCGUUCCUCUGCCCCUAAGCCCUCCAGCCGUAAACCUCUGCUGCUGUCAAGCUUAAAGAGAAACCAGGGAAUCAGUGACACCAAUACCUUAAUACUGUAUCAACACACUGUACUGUCUGUUGUCACCCUCAGUAACAAAAUGCACCCACAAAAAUACAGUACACACCCUGCACCUGCAGUCCUGUCUGCCAUGUAUAAGAAAAACAAACUCUGUCUGAUAUGAUAGACGAAUAUGAGUCUAACGCCACUUUGAAAUUUUAAAUUUAGAUAUUUAGACUUGUUGCAAGCUGUAAAGGCCCAGUCACUCCAGCAAAAAACAGCCAAAUUUUGUGGCAAAAUCAGUUGACUUCAAUGGAAUUGGCACAAUCAGGGAAACUCAUAGCGCUGAAGUAAAUAUGCACAAAUUCUUCUGGUCAAGUUCAGUUUUGGUGUACUUUAACAUUAAGGAACAAAGCUCCAGAGAGUUAAAAAGGAAGCUAUCUAGAGUAUAAACCGCUCCACAAAAGCGGCAUGUAUUUUAGACAGUAAUGAGACAACAAAUAUGUCACAAUAAACUUUCUAAAUCUAUCGUCCUGUAAAUACUCAAGUGAGACAUCAGACGAUAAAGUAAGUCAGUAAAAUUAUUACCCAAGCUGUCUCAAAUAUGCACCAAGACUGAUUCAGCACUUUUUUCUUAAUAUGUCUACCUUAGCUUGUUAGCUACAGUAGUUUGCCAAUUAGUUCUGUAAGUAAUCACCGUCACCAAGCUUCCAGCAUAACUGUUAUUAGGAAGUCCAUCGAAUUUUGCUGUGCCACUUUCUGGUGUGACUGGGCAUUAAGAUUUAUUUUUCUUACUUUUGCCAUCUUUGGUCCUCAGCAUUCAUUGCUGUGCUGUUUUGCACUCUACAUCACAGUCACAAAUUAUUAGACAGUCUUAAUUGUAUGGCCAGUAGAGUGAUAUUGAUUUCUGCAAGCGGCACCCUCUUUUGUCUGUUUAGUCAUGGUGGCUAUCACUGCCUGUGCUAAAGCCCUACAAAUAAUGAAGUUGGUAAUUAUAACUAUAUUUUUCUUAUUGUCAACAAAUCCAAUGUGCAGAUAUGAACCAACAAUGAAUGAAUCCUACUAACAAGUAUUAUCUGUGUACCAUUGCAAACCAUACAAACCUACCAGACACGGAGAACAGCAAAAGUAGAAACUUUAAGCAGGCUGAAUAUUUUUUGUGUUCUAUCAGUCAUCCACAGUGUGGAGCAAAACACAGUUAUACACCCAGAAGCAAACCUGUGAUAGAUGAGUCGCCUUCAGAAAGCACUAACCUACAAAGACAGUCCAAGUUUUGAGUGGGAGUGUGUGUCCUGCCAACAUAUGUCUGUGGUAGAGGCACUCAGCUGUCUUUGUUCUGGGUUCCAUCAUGGGUGUGGAUGAAUGGUGUCCCACGUGUUUCAAAUAUGCUUAAUUGUAUAUCUCAGUUCACUCUUUACCUCCACACAUGAGUUACAGAGUGCUUGCUUUCAGAAUCCAAGUGCUAAUGAGUGAUACUGUUCUGUGUCAUGGCAGAGAGGUAUAUUACAAAUGAGAUGGAGCGUAUGAGAAGACUGUGUCUGCUGAGUUUUUCCAUGUUUUCACCUUAAAACACCAAAUAAAACAAAAAAGUCUUAACCACA